GACAGAGGGUGCUAGCGUUGUUCGGAAUUACUGGGCGUAAAGGGCGCGUAGGCGGUCUGUUAAGUUCGGUGUGAAAUCCCCCUGGCUCAACUGGGGGAACUGCGCUGAGAACUGGCGGACUCGAGUACCGGAGAGGAGAGUGGAAUUCCUGGUGUAGCGGUGAAAUGCGUAGAUAUCAGGAGGAACACCGGUGGCGAAGGCGGCUCACUGGCUCGAUACUGACGCUGAGGUGCGAAAGCGUGGGGGAGCAAACAGG
rnacentral:rRNA from 1 species